GACGCGGUGAAUACGUUCCCGGGCCUUGUACACACCGCCCGUCACACCAUGGGAAUUGGGUCUACCCUAAGAUGGUGCGCCAACCAGCAAUGGAGGCAGCCAGCCACGGUAGGCUCAGUGACUGGGGUGAAGUCGUAACAAGGUAGCCGUAGGGGAACCUGCGGCUGGAUCACCUCCUUUCUAAG
rnacentral:rRNA from 1 species